GAUGAAGAACGUAGCGAAAUGCGAUAAGUAAUGUGAAUUGCAGAAUUCAGUGAAUCAUCGAAUCUUUGAACGCACAUUGCGCCCGCUAGUAUUCUGGCGGGCAUGCCUGUUCGAGCGUCAUUUCAACCAUCAAGCCCUGUUUAGGCUUGUGUUGGGGCCCUGCGGUUGCCGCAGCCCCCUAAAUGCAGUGGCGGGCUCGUUGUCACUCCGAGCGCAGUAGCGUAUCUCGCUCUGGGCGUGGCGGCGGGUGCUAGCCGUGAAACACCCACUGAGGUUGACCUCGGAUCAGGUAGGAAUACCCGCUGAACUUAAGCAUAUCAAUAAGCGGAGGA
rnacentral:misc_RNA from 1 species